CAGCCACAUCAUGUUAAAACACCAGUUCCCGUACGAUUACUAAAAUUAAGCAACGUCGAGCCUGAUCAGUACUUAAAUGGGUGACUGAUUGGGAAUACUAGUUGCUGUAA